GGGCCGGGGGCGUCGAGACUCGGGCACUGCGAGCGUCGCUUUCGGGAGGGAGGAAGGGCCGGCGGCAGCCCCGGCGCUUGGGUCCGCCGCCCGGCGGGGCGGGAGAGCCGGGCAGCGCCCGCCGCCUGCAGGACACAGGCCCAGCCGCCAGCAAGGUGCAGGCGCCGCCACCCCGCCCGCCGUUCCGAACUGUCCGUGGGUCUGUCCGCCCAUCAAAGCCUUUUCUCAAACACCCGUAGCCACGGCGCGUCCGCGCUGGAGCGCGCCUUCCGCUCCGGCCCCGGGAAGGCGCCUCCGCCCGCUGUCCUCUGGCGGCCGCCGCCCGCCCGCAGCCCGCCGUCGCUGCGCCCCGAGGACCGCUGCGGCCCGCGCAGAGCGCGCCCCACAGGAGCCCAGGUCGCGAAGCUGGGAGGCGGCGGGGCCUCUACCUCUCCAGGCCCCGCGUGCAGCGUCUGCCCCGAGUCGCUGGGGGCCUGGAUGAGGAGAAACUGAGGCGCCCGUGGGCACGCACGCACACAACUUGUCCUUUCCGAUGAGCCACCCCUUUAGAAGUGUUAUUCUUGUCCUGGAUUGUUAAUGAAAGGAAUUAUUUUUCUACUAAGGAGGGGGCUGAAUGAACAGAACGUCUCCUCGGAGACCCCUCAACUGAGACGGAAGAUGGAAAUGGAUCGCCCGGCGUCGCGGCCACCCAGACGCUCGGGCCAGCCUCCUCCCUCCCUGAAAAGUCACACCAGUGACAAACGUUACCUGCCGAGCUGACGGUUUGAUAACGAAUAACGGUUACUGACACCAGGAUAUCCUCACCUACCCCGGGCUUCUGGUCUACGCAAACGGCCCCAGAUGGAGAACUACGACAAUUAUCUAAAUAGCUCAAAGACACCCCCCAAACGGACUUCGCUCCAAUUUUUGGUGAUUUCGGUCUAGUGGGGAGUGUGUUCAAGUCGCAUGGUUGGGAUAAUUGCCUUAAUCUUCCCCUCGGUCUCCCGGCGGCGAAGGGGAAGACGGUAAGACGGCCGCGGACGUGCAGCUGCCUCCUGGGCGUGCAGAGCCCCCGGGUCGCUGCACUAGGAGAAGCCUCUUCCCGCGUCUUCUAAGCCUACCUGUCCUUUCCCCCGCAGCCCCUCGGCCUGGCGGGGACCCCGGAGCCGGCAAUCGGGGGUCCUGCCCCGACGGGCCGGCUUCCUGGGCACAAGCCGGAGCCAAGGGAGUGAAUAAGCCGGAACAGCGGGCGGGGAUGGGUCUGGGCAAGGCGCAGGGGCGAUUCGGCUGGCCGGGGCUGAGGAGGACGCGGGAAAGUUCGCGGGGGGGUCUCUGACCCGGGGCAAGCUGUGCACCCCGGGCUGGGCUCACGCCCCUCGAGAAUCAUUUCCCGGACUCGGGGGGGCCCCCCGCCUCGUCCACUAAUCCCUUUACUUGACUUGGAAAAAGAGAAGGAAAAACUCCUCUGGCUCCUGGUGACCUGAGUUAGGCACCAUCUCCUCCCCCCCCACACACACACAUUCCUGCGGUGUCACCGCGUUCCCGAAUCCGGGCAUUUCCUGGAGGGCUCGCCACAUCUCCCUUCCCGGUGCUUUUCUACCGCUGCGACCCGGGAGGCCUUGUUUUAAAGAUCGCUGUGACGUCACGCCCCCUCCCCAGAGCUAAGAACCCUUCGGUGGGCCCCAGGAAUUGUAACCCCGCCUGACGGGUCAGGGAGGGGGUGGGGGCGGGGAGGGCCGAGCGACAGUCCACCGAGCAUCCAUUACCGCUGUCGCCUCCGGGACCUUCAGGCUGCAGGGACUGGAGGUGUCAGGAAAGAGGCAGAGGUUUCCUGCGGGGCAUUUCUGCCGACUGAGUUAAGAGCUGUGGGGAAGACAGAUGACUGAACCACCCCGUGGAGCAGCAAAAGGGACAUCAAAAACUGCAGCCCGAAAAUAAAAACUGUAACCCAUUCCCCCAAAGCCUUCAUUUCUGCGCCUUACUGUUCAAACACCACCACUAACAACAAUAAGAAAAUCAGUAA
rnacentral:lncRNA from 1 species